AUUGAACGCUGGCGGCAGGCCUAACACAUGCAAGUCGAACGAGUGGCGGAAAGGGGAGUAAUGUGUGGGAAACAGCCGGAUGGAGGGGGAUAACUACUGGAAAAGGUAGGUAAUAAAGCACACCAUAGGCUGUGCCCAGAUGGGAUUAGCUAGUAGGUGGGGUAAUGGCUCACCUAGGGGACGAUCCCUAGCUGGUCUGAGAGGAUGACCAGCCACACUGGAACGGAGACACGGUCCAGACUCCUACGGGAGGCAGCAGUGGGGAAUAUUGCACAAUGGGCGCAAGCCUGAUGCAGCCAUGCCGCGUGUAUGAAGAAGGCCUUCGGGUUGUAAAGUACUUUCAGCGAGGAGGCGUUACUCGCAGAAGAAGCACCGGCUAACUCCGUGCCAGCAGCCGCGGUAAUAC
rnacentral:rRNA from 1 species